UCUCCGUAGGUGAACCUGCGGAGGGAUCACUACAGAGUUCUCGCCCUCGCGGGUAGAUCUCCCACCCACUGUUAUCGUUACUGUGUUGCUUUGGCGGGCCGCCGGGCCCCGCUCGGCCGCCGGCUCCGGCUGGCGCGCGCCCGCCAGAGGCCCAGCAAACCCUGAAUGUUAGUGACGUCUGAGUACUAUAUAAUAGUUAAAACUUUUAACAACGGAUCUCUUGGUUCUG
rnacentral:misc_RNA from 1 species